UGGAUGUCCGGCCCAAGCGAGGAUUUUCACGAAAACAUCAACCGCAGACUGCGCUUCAGUGCCAGCUGGAAGGGUGCUACGACGGACGGGACCCGACGCUAUGGACCCGACGGCGUGACAGCUGAGUCGAUGGCGUUGCUAAAGUUGGAUAAUGUUUGGCCUUGAACCGUGAUAUUAUUAAUAUGAUAUGCAUUUAACGGCAAUGAAUGCGGUAUCACUUGUUAGAUAGGAAGACGAGAGAGAGACAGAGGAGAGAAAGAGAGAGAGAGAGGGGCCAAAGUGGACUCCCUCCCUCGGUUGCGCCGUUCCGCCCGAUGGAGGCUGACGGGACCUUUGCAGUGAGCUCGAGGCCCGGAAUGUCACCUGUGAAACGUCGACACCUGGCUAAACAACGUAAUUAAGGAAAACACUUCGCUUUCGACGACUUAUUUGACAACUUCUUAGUGAGCCUGAAUUCAAAAGCAAAAAGUUCGCAGGUCAACGUUAGCUGCGCGAGGCAACCCCUCGAGCAAGAUGAGUAUUAUAGAUAUGACUUAAAGUGAGGUUAUUCACCGCCUCAGGUAAGCUAGCACAGGUGGACAACACGCCGCAACCUGUUUAUUGGACAUCGGGUUUGUUCUAGAAAGUUGACAUAUUUCGCCACCAGCAAGUUGACUCCCAACCCCUUUUGGGCUCCGAGAAUCGAGCGGUUUUGUCUCUCAAACAAGGACUUUCUCUUUUUCUUUUCUUUAUUUUUUUGGAGGGGGGGACAUUUCAUCAAGUGUUCUCAAUCAACCAUGUCAUUCAAAGAUAACCCCUGUCGGAAAUUUCAAGCCAACAUUUUCAACAAAAGUAAAUGUCAGAACUGCUUUAAGCCCCGGGAAUCACAUUUGCUCAACGACGAAGACUUAAAUCAGGCGAAACCUAUAUACGGAGGAUGGUUGCUUCUUGCACCUGAGGGAACAAAUUUUGACAAUCCCUUACACAGAUCCCGGAAAUGGCAAAGGAGGUUCUUCAUUCUUUACGAACAUGGCUUACUUCGCUAUGCUCUGGACGAAAUGCCCAGCACUUUACCCCAGGGCACAAUCAAUAUGAACCAGUGCUCCGAUGUCAUCGAUGGCGAGUCCAGGACAGGUCAGAAGAACUCGCUGUGCAUCCUGACCCCCGACAAAGAGCACUUCAUCCGGGCUGAGUGUAAAGAAAUCAUCAACGGGUGGCAGGAGGCUCUGACUGUGUACCCCAGAACCAACAAGCAGAACCAGAAGAAAAAACGCAAGGUCGAUCCACCCACUCACCAGGGUGGAGUCACUCCAAGCCAGUGUUUUUCCACUGAAGACAUGAAUGGACACCCAGAGCCUGGCCCUGCCAAGGUCACAGUGACCAGCAGUAGCAGUGGAGGCAGCAUCCCGUGCCUGCCCAGCAGUAUCGCCAGUGCUGAGCGUGUCCCGAUGAGCCGCGCCACUCUGUGGCAGGAGGAGAGCCGCUGGAGCAGGGCCACCAUCCCCUGCAGCCGCAGUGCCUCCUGUCUCAGCCAGCUGAGCCGGAGCCAACCAGACUCCAGUAUCACUAGUCAGGAUGAUGGCGGCACCAUGAGCACUGGACGCAAGGUACGAGUGGAGAGUGGUUACUUUUCCCUGGAGAAGGCCAAGUCGGAGCCCUCUCCACAGCCUGCACAUCAUUCCCAGCCACCUCAGCCGCCUCAGCAUCUGCCCCUGUCCUCUUCAUUAUCUUCCUCCUCAUUAGGAGCUCCCAGUCCCAGGUACAACUCUGAGUCAGAACCCCAAACUUCCCCUUAUCAACCCUCCCAAGAUCCUCUCCCCUCUCCAGGUGCCCUCAUUUCCCCUAGCUACUCCACCAUCAGCUCCUCCCAGAGCUCGCUGGACUCUGAACCCAGCAGUACAGCAUCGGCCUGGGAGGGCCGUGUUGGGAGCACCGGUAGCGUCAGUGGUGGAGGAGGCAGAGUGGGCCGGUCUGGCAGGGAGUAUGCAGCACUGUCUGAUGUGCCACGGGCUCGCAGGCUGAGCUACCGCGAAGCUUUCCGUUCAGAGAAAAAGCGUCAAGAGCUGCGGGCACGCACACGCAGUCCUGGCAGAGAGGAGGUGGCUCGGCUGUUUGGGGAGGAGCGCAGGCGUUCUCAAGUCAUCGGCCGAUUUGAGGAGGGUCAACCUGUAGAGCGUAUGGACACAAGCAGCUCCAAUGAGCUGUCCUCCAACAUCUCGCUAAUCCAGAGACAAGGCCGCAGCGAGAGACGCUAUCUUGCUAACAAGCAUGAAAUGUCACUGGAUGCAGGAAAGGACCGUUCAGUCCCUGAUGUGUCCAGCUCCACUUUUGCCAACUUAAGAAGAGCCAAGUCACUGGACCGCAGAGUCACGGAGUCCUCAAUGACUCCAGAUCUGCUGAACUUCAAAAAAGGAUGGAUGACAAAGCUGUAUGAAGAUGCAAUGUGGAAGAAACACUGGUUUGUCCUCACAGAUCAGAGUCUAAGGUACUACAAGGACUCAAUAGCUGAGGAGGCUUCAGAACUGGAUGGUGAGAUUGACCUUUCCACAUGUUAUGAUGUCAAAGAGUUCCCAGUCCAGAGGAAUUAUGGCUUUCAAAUCCUGUGUAAAGAUGGAGCAUGCACCCUGUCAGCCAUGACCUCUGGAAUCCGUCGCAACUGGAUUCAGGCCAUCAUGAAGAAUGUGCGACCAACUAUUGCCCCCGAUGUCACCCGAUCCCUCCCCGAGGAGAAGAUAAAAGCCCAAGUGACGCUGGAGCCAUGUCCACAGGGCACCCUUGACUCAAGCCCCAGUCCUGAAAGCCCCAAGACUGAUGGCAACAGACAGCCAGCUGGCAACAAUGCUUCCGCCCCUACCUCUGAGCCGCGAAAAAGCAGAGUUCGUGAGCGCAGACGAGAGGGCCGCUCAAAGACCUUUGACUGGUCUGAGUUCAAAGUGGAACAGACAGAAAAGCCUGUGAAGGAACGGGCAGACACAGUCGACCUCAGCUCAUCGUUCUCCACAACCUCUUCCUAUUGCUCUCCCUCUUCUUCCCCUUCCUCAUUAGCAUCCUCUCCUGUGUCUACCUCCUCCCUCCAAACAUCCUCUUUAUCAGGUGCUCACCCACCUUCUAUGACAGAAGAAGCAGAAAAGGAAAAUAUUAGGAGAGGUAUCCCUCCACACAGCACAACCAGUGUAACCCACAUGCCAAAUACUGUUACUGUUACCUUGACAUCCACACUAAACACUACAUCACCGGUACAGCCAUCAAUGCCUGAAUGCCAAGAGCAAGGAAAGAUGGAGGUAGAUCACCCUACAGCUGUACACACUGCUAGUGAAGACAAGACGGACAAGAAAACACCAGGUGUCCAGGAAGAGAUUGAGCAGCGAUGGCAUCAGGUAGAGACAACGCCAUUAAGAGAAGAGAAGCAAGUGCCCAUCACCACAGCUGUAGCAAACUCUGGUAACUCUGAGAGAUUGCCCGCACAUGAGCUUGCUGCACUACUAGACAAAGAGUUGGGACAAAAGCAGAAGGAGCUGGACCGUCUGCAGAAGCAGAACAACCUUUUAAAAGAGCAGUUGGAAGAUGCUCUCGGGAGAGAACAAAGUGCCAGAGAGGGCUAUGUACUGCAGAGUGCAACACCCCCUCCCUCCUCACCGCACAGAGUGCCAUGGCAACAUUUGCACAAGCUGAACCAAGAUUUGCAGGGCGAAUUGGAGUCCCAAAAGCGAAAGCAGGAUGUCGCUCACCAACAGAUUCGGACGCUAAAAAGAAGCUACACCGAAGCCCAGGAUGCUGUAGACCGUCAUGAGGCUGAUAUUCAGGCUCUGCAGGCUAAACUAGCAUCUGCCAUGGCUGAAAUCUUAGCUAGUGAACAGGCAGUGGUCCGUAUGCGCAAUGAGCUCAAGCUGGAACAAGAACGUUCAAAGGAACAAGAAGAUGAAUAUGGACGCAGCGAGGUCACCUUACGAGCCCAGCUAAAGGACAGUGAAGAUAGACUCCGUGAAGUAGAGGCUAGCCUCUUGGAAAGGAACCAGGCCCUUAGGCACCUGGAGCGCCAACAGGCCCUGCAGCGAGACCACCUGAGAGAGAUACAGAGGCUGCAGGAAAGGCUGCAAGAGGUGACUGCUCGACUACGUGCUACGGAAGAAGGUCAAGCACUGAAGGAAGAGCGUCUGAGGAAGGAGCAGCAUAGCAUGCAAGAGAGUCAUGAGAGGGAAAGACAAAAUCUGUGCAAAAGAUUAGCUGAUGCUGAAACUGCACGAAAAGAGAUGGAGGACAGACUAUUGGAGGCUGAACAGCAGGUGGAAGCCCUGUUAAGAGGGAGGCAGGCCUCAGGAGGAAAAGAAUACAGGGAGGAAAUACUGAAGUUGCAAGAGGAGCUGGCCCAAAAGACUGACAUGGUUGAGUCACUGAGGGAGAGUGUGCGUAGGCUAGAAGAAGAGAAAAGUCACCUCACUUGCCGCUGUCAGGAGCUUCUCAACCAGAUUUCAGAGGCAGACCGCGAGGUGAACAAGCUCCGCAAUCGUCUGGAGACAGAAGAGGCUGAUUACUUCACCCUGGAACACUCAUAUGAGAGGGCUACCCAAGAGUUUCAGAAAAUGAGCCAGUUCCUUAGAGAGAAAGAGGAGGAGAUCCGGCAGACUAAGGAGAUGUAUGAGAGGCUGGUGGAACGCAAGGAAGAGGACUUGAAAGAGGCACUUGUUAAAAUGACUGCACUUGGCAACAGCUUGGAGGAAACAGAACAGAAGUUGCAAGCUAAAGAGGAACUUCUUUGUCAAAUGAGUCAAAGUCUCUUAGAUAAGGUUGAGCCCUGUACCGCUGAAAAGGAUCUGCAAGCCAAGCUUGUGGUAGCAGAGGACCGCAUUGCAGAGCUAGAGCAACACCUCAAUGCCCUGCAGCUGGGCUAUGCUGAUCUACGCAUGGAAAGGCAGCAAAUCCCUGGACAGAGUAAGAAGGGAAGGGUUAAAACAUCAGCCUCCUUAUCAGCAAACACACUUGCCUUUGACAAUACAUCUAAGACAGACAACUCCCUAGAUGAUAAGGAGUCUCAAGCUAAGAGACCAAGGAUACGUUUUUCCAGUAUUCAGUGCCAAAAAUACAACAACUUAGAGGACCUGGAUGCUAGCCACGUCAGCAGUACCUUUGUAGACACAAGACAAAAAGUUAACCAGGACGUAAAUGAAGACAUCCAUCUAACUGAUCAAAAUAUCUCUUCUGAUAUCGCAUUCCCAUAUACUAGUGACUCAGAGAAGUUUAUCUCCAUUAUACAUGCCCUAGAAACCAAACUGCUAGCCACUGAGGAAAAGCUAAGAAACCUCACACAGAAUCUAGAAGAGCAACGAUCCAACCAAGCUGAAGACAUGUCCAAGAUUGAUCUAAAGAUGACAGAAAAGGAGCCCUACUCAGAGAAAGAGUUCAGUUGUGAAAGUGGGGUUCAGAUUAGUGCUGCCAAUAAGCAUUAUGCCAAGGCCCUGGUGUGCGUGGAAAAUAGUCGAGAGAAAGUCAGGCUUAUUCUCGGUGGCUGUCAUGAUACCACCGAUUCACAGCUUCACUCGUUGUCAGAGAUAGAAAAUGAGUUGUUCAAUGCAUCACUGUACAUCCGUCAAGGACAAAAGACCUUGGAAGAGCAAUCACCAGUGGUCCCUCAAAAUCAAAACCCAGAGAUGCUAGAUAAAGAAGCAAUGUAUCUCUAUGCCAAAACUUUGUCUUUUGAGGCAGUAGUUUUGAACAAAAUGGCUUUGUUAAUACAGACCUCCAAGUCUGACCUCCUACAAGCUCUCGCUGAGAUAUGGGGAGACAUAGAGAACAUUAAAAGAAGCGAAAAAGAUUGCUUGUCUAUAGUUUAUGCUGAUGUCUUGACCAGGAAGUUGAUGUUAGAGAGUGCAUUUUGGAAAGACCUGGAGAAAGCUGAGACGCAGUGUGAACACUCUGAUGUUGCUAAAUCAAAAGAGGGCAGUGUUCCAGCGGAUGCAGAUGUUGACUCCACAGUUAUCUUUAACACCUUCAUUAAAGCAGAACUAGCUUACUCUGUUCAAAACCUUAAACUUUGCUAUGAAGAGAAAUUCAGGCUACUAAAAAGGGAGUUGGCUGAAGCCCGUAACAACGUAUAUCAAAGGGAAAUGGCUUUGAAAGCGAUUAUUGAAGCUUCCAAAAGGCCAGAUUUGAAAAAUGUAAUAAAAGAAGUCAAAAAUAACUUUGGCUUUGGUAAACAAAAGUUAGCUGAUAUUCAUCCCCCUGAACUUGCUCCUUACAUGGAGCAGAUUGAACUGCAAGAGGCUAGAGACCUUGCUGAGGAAAUCAUUGACAGACAAUUGGCGGAAGAAAUGCCCUCUUUUGGCGUUGACUCCAUUGAGUCACUUCAAAAUGCACAUGACAAUCUGGCUACUGAGCUUCAAAGACAGGCAGCAAUCCUGCAUAAGUAUGCUCAAGAGAUAGAAAGUGGUGGAAACCAUCCUGAAUUGGCUAAAAUGAUCCAUGCUCUUUUAGGACACCAAACUUCACAUACCUUCACAAGUACUUCUCUUUGUAUGCAUGAAGCCCUCAUGCAGGCUCAAGUAGCUUAUGUGGCAUGCAGGUUACGCGCCAUACAUGAACAAGACUUGGGCUGGUGUAAACAGGCAGGUCAGAACAUGGAUGCCCUUGUCCAGCAGCAUGCCCACAGUGUCAGUGCAAUCCAAGAGAAAUACGAAGCAUCCUUACAGGAGGAGCGCCAGAACUUCACACAAACAGUUGCCACUCUCCACAAUGAGAACCAAACACUAAAGAGUGAGAUCAGCAAACGUGUGAACCAGCUCUCCCAGCAGCAGGAGCAGCUGACCCUCCUGGAGGAGCAUUUCCAGAAGGAGAAGGAAGAGCUGAAGCAGAGGCACAAGCAAGAGCUAAGCCAGGCAGAGCAAGGGCGUGCCUCGACAGAGCUGGCCCUCAUGGAGACCACAGCUGAUAGCCAACGAAAGCUAGAAGUCCUGCUGGUGGACAUGGACACCAUGGAGGAGCAGCACAAGAGUCAUGUUAGAAAACUGGAGGACCAAUUUGAACAGAGGAUCUGUGAGCUUCAGCAUAUCCACCAAGAGGAGAUUGAAAAGUUGCAUUCCCAGUAUAUGGAAAACAUUCGAUGUAUCCAAGAGCACCAACAGAACAAAAAAGGCCUUGAGGUUUCCCACUCACCUCCCUUUGAUGAGGCCACAACACCGAUGGAAGAGGAGGAGCAGGGAAAGAGGGAGGAUGCACAGACCAUGUCAGAGGUAGAUUCCAUGGUGCUUCUGAAGGACAGGAUCCAGGAGUUGGAGACACAGAUGAACACCAUGAGGGACGAACUGGAGAACAAGCACCUAGAAGGAGAUGUGGCCAGCCUGAGAGAGAAAUACCAGAGAGACUUUGAAAGUCUUAAGGCCACGUGUGAACGUGGCUUUGCAGCAAUGGAAGAAACACACCAGAAGUUGAUUGAAGACCUCCAGAGGCAGCAUCAGAGGGAGAUUUCCAAACUUAUGGAAGAGCGAGAGAGACUACUGGCUGAGGAGACUGCCGCCACAAUUGCUGCUAUUGAAGCGAUGAAGAACGCACACAAAGAGGAACUGGAGAAGACCCAGCGCUCCCAGCUGAGUGGACUGAACUCUGACAUUGAUGAACUUCGAUUACAAUAUGAGGAGGAGCUUCAGUCCAUCCAGAGGGAACUGGAGGUGUUGUCAGAGCAGUACUCACAGAAAUGUCUGGAGAACGCUCACCUGGCCCAGGCUCUGGAGGCCGAGAGGCAGGCCCUCAGGCAGUGUCAGAGAGAGAACCAGGAGCUGAACGCUCACAACCAGGAAUUAAAUAAUCGGCUGACUACAGAGAUCACUCGGAUGCGCUCUUGUUUCAGCGGUGAAACAGCAUUGUCACCACUUACCCACGGCAAAGAUGUGUAUGAACUGGAGGUGCUGCUUCGAAUUAAGGAGUCAGAGAUCCAGUACCUUAAGCAGGAAAUCCACUCUUUGAAAGACGAACUGCAGUCUGCUUUAAGGGACAAGAAAUAUGCUACAGACAAAUAUAAAGACAUCUAUACAGAGCUCAGCAUUGUGAAAGCAAAGGCUGACUGCGACAUCAGCAAACUGAAAGAGAAGCUGCUUAUCGCCACAGAAGCGUUGGGCGAGAGGACUGUCGAUGGAACAGUUACAUCUGGAUACGACAUAAUGAAAUCAAAAAGUAAUCCAGAUUUCUUGAAAAAAGAACAAUCCAAGCAAUCAAGAGGAGUAAGGUCAAAGUCUAUCACUGAACAGGUCUCAUGGGAUAGCUGACACUCCCAUUGUGGGGUGAUCCCCCCUCCCCAAUCCCCGCCCCAAGAUGUGCUAGCCUGAAAGAGGGACUAACUGUGCAGGAGCGCAUGAAGCUUUUUGAGGCGAAAGAUUCCAAAAAGAUUUAAAUCUCAAGAAUCCGAAGUUCUCUUUCCUGGCCUUGGUUUUUUGGUCAGAUUGCCACGGCUGUGUCAGCAGCAGCUGAUGACUCUCAUAGGAAAUGGGGAAAAAAAGGUAUCAAGGUCAAUUCUAAACCUGGACCUGCUGCUUCCAUGCCUCUGAUAAGUUGUCAUGUUUUUAUUUCAUAUUCUUUUUAAUUCAUGGAAAAAAAAAAAAGUUUUACUGAAUGAAUCAUGUCUAGGUUUCUUUUAAAAAAACAUUAGGUAUAUAAUCUGUCCAAGCUGGAGAUCUGUCAAAUAAGCUGUGAGAGGGAUACAUGACAGCAUUUUUUUUUUAUUGAUCCUCCAAAACGCCAAAACAGACAGCAAUACACAGUAUGAAUAAUAUAUAUUUCCCAAUAUGAAUUAAGUAUCUGCUGUAUUUUAUUAUUGUUACAAUUUCUAUAUCUAAUAGUUUUUAAUGUGUUUAAUGUUGCACCUGUUCUGUUGUACAUAACUACUGGAUAUAUGUAAGAGUAUGGUUUGCUAUUGAUUGUUGGGGCAUCUGCUGUAUUAUAACUAUGGUUUGAUUGAUAGUGGAAAACAAUGUGAUGCUUAACUUGCUUAUGUAUGAGAGUUUUAUAAAGUGGAGUGUCUGUGUGUGAAGGGGGGAAAGGGGGGUGGGAUUGCACUUAUCACUUGACUACUUGAGGAAGCUUUUUUUUUUUUUUUCUUGUCUCAAAUUGGUGUAGUGACUUCAAGUCGAUUAUUGCAGUGCAACCAAACAUCAUGACUUCUGUCAAAUUUAGUGAACAGCCGUGACUUGUAAGUGAUACUGGAUUUUUUUUUUUUAAAAGUUUAUUAAAACCUGAAUUUGUGUUUGCUCAGUUUUGACUUGAUGUGUGAGAGUAUCAUCUCAUAAAAACUAUUUAGGACUUUGCAUGACUGUACAGUAUAAUUUGAAUUGCAGAAUGAUCAUGUUGCCUCAUUUUCCUACUUUAUGCUUUAGUGUGGAACUCUUAACACUAAUAAGCUUUGCUUUGCAAGUCCUACUGUUUAGGUGUUGAGAUUGAAUUGUUUUACUGUAAGCGGCAGUCUUGAAGCACUUGGCCCAAUCCCUCGACCUCUCACUGAAAUCUAGUCGUGCCUCAACUGAGUGAAGAAUAUAAACAUCCAUGAAACCUGUGCAGCUAUGGAAACACACUGUAUAGUAUUCAAACCACGCCUUGUAUAUACGUAUGCCACACGGAAAACUUCUGUGUUUUGUUUUAAACUUGUACCUUGCUCACUAGCUCUAUAUGGAAUAUAUAUGAAUAUUUUUUAUUUUCAUUUGAAUGUAUAACGUCAAAUAAAUGAAGUGUUUGGAAAUGUU